rnacentral:rRNA from 1 species
AUUGAACGCUGGCGGCAUGCCUUACACAUGCAAGUCGAACGGUACAGGUCUUCGGAUGCUGCCGAGUGGCGAACGGGUGAGUAAUACAUCGGAACGUGCCCAGACGUGGGGGAUAACGAGGCGAAAGCUUUGCUAAUACCGCAUACGAUCUAAGGAUGAAAGCAGGGGACCGCAAGGCCUUGCGCGUUUGGAGCGGCCGAUGGCAGAUUAGGUAGUUGGUGGGAUAAAAGCUUACCAAGCCGACGAUCUGUAGCUGGUCUGAGAGGACGACCAGCCACACUGGGACUGAGACACGGCCCAGACUCCUACGGGAGGCAGCAGUGGGGAAUUUUGGACAAUGGGCGAAAGCCUGAUCCAGCAAUGCCGCGUGCAGGAUGAAGGCCUUCGGGUUGUAAACUGCUUUUGUACGGAACGAAAAGGCUCUGGCUAAUACCUGGGGCACAUGACGGUACCGUAAGAAUAAGCACCGGCUAACUACGUG